UUUCAAAAUAACUUAGCGGCGGACGGGUGAGUAACACGUAGGCAACCUUCCCCUUAGACUGGGAUAACUACCGGAAACGGUAGCUAAUACCGGAUAAUUUCUUUUUUCUCCUGAAGAAAGAAUGAAAGACGGAGCAAUCUGUCACUGAGGGAUGGGCCUGCGGCGCAUUAGCUAGUUGGUGGGGUAACGGCCCACCAAGGCGACGAUGCGUAGCCGACCUGAGAGGGUGAACGGCCACACUGGGACUGAGACACGGCCCAGACUCCUACGGGAGGCAGCAGUAGGGAAUCUUCCGCAAUGGACGAAAGUCUGACGGAGCAACGCCGCGUGAGUGAUGAAGGUUUUCGGAUCGUAAAGCUCUGUUGCCAGGGAAGAACGUCC
rnacentral:rRNA from 1 species